AGUGAACGCUGGCGGUAGGCCUAACACAUGCAAGUCGAACGGCAGCACAGUAAGAGCUUGCUCUUACGGGUGGCGAGUGGCGGACGGGUGAUGGAUACAUCGGAAUCUACUUUUUCGGGGGGGAUAACGUAGGGAACCUUACGCUAAUACCGCAUACGACCUACGGGUUAAAGCAGGGGAGCUUCGGACCUUGCGCGAUUGAAUGAGCCGAUGUCGGAUGAGCUAGUUGGCGGGGUAAAGGCCCACCAAGGCGACGAUCCGUAGCUGGUCUGAGAGGAUGAAUCGACACAUGGGAACUGAGACACGGCACAGACUCCUACGGGAGGACGCAGUGGGGAAUAUUGGACAAUGGGGGAAAGGCUGAUCCAGCCAUACCGCGUGGGUGAAGAAGGCCUUAGGGUUGUAAAGCCCUUUUGUUGGGAAAGAAAAGCAGCAGGUUAAUACCCCGCUGUUCUGACGGUACCAAAAGAAUAAGCACCGGCUAACUUCGUG
rnacentral:rRNA from 1 species